UCCCUGCCGGACGCAUUUUAUAAGUCUCGAAAAGAGGACAUGUCCAGGUAAAAGAGGACGUCUGCCGGUCACCCUAGUUUACUUGACACUUGUCCUGCAUCGCCAGUCUCAUCUCCCUCUCUGCCUCUAGCUCCCCCUCCUGGCUGAAUGACAGGCGCUGCAGCUCCCUCUGGAGGAAAGUGGUCUCACUGCGGAACUGCUGGAUCUGCUGGCCCUGCACACCAGCACACAGUGCAUGUCUGUGUGUGUGUAUGUUUUACAUGUGCGUGAGAAAGUGCCUGAAUGUUUAUGGUAUCUGUGUGUGUGUGUCCUACCUGCUCAAGGUUUUUCCUCUCAUACUCUUCCUUAACGUAACAUCGUGAAUGAUUGGUUUAAAUAUAUUUUUAUUUUAUUUUAAGAGCAUAAUGUUACUCAAGCAAAACUAGUCAACAUUAACACAAAGCAAACAAUAGAUAUUGUUAACGUUGUUGUUGUUGUUGUUGACAUCAGUGACAAGCCAGCUAACUAAUGUUAGCUCCGCUACCUAAGACACCAGCCAAAUGCAAGUCGGGAUGAUAGAUCUGUAUCAAUUACUGAUUUGUUUUGAUACUAGUUGUUAUGAUCAUUGUUUUUACAGAUCGCAGAUAACACCAGAGUGUGUUCCGAUCACUUUCCUGAAGAGUCAAUUACAAAGACGCUAUGUGGCAUCAGGAAACUUAAGGAGGGAGUUGUACCAACUCUUUUUACAUGGUCCUCGAUCAAGCAUGGCAGGCGGGCGAUUGUUAGAACGGCAAGUCAUGGGACCACUCCCACCUGUGGAGAGGAUGCACUGGGUGAAGAAUCAGAUGAGUCAGGGUAAAACACCCAAAGCCUAUAUGAUCUAAUUGGUUCACUGUAAUGUACAUUCAUUUUCUGCCAUCACUUUCAUUUGUUCAUAAUACUGUUUCACCUCAGACUGGGUGUGUGGGAGAGGAUAGAUCGAGGCGUGGGAGAAGACCCACCACAGGGUAAGAAGAUGGAUGAAUUACUGGCAGAACACGACUACGCUUCGGUUCCGGAUCCCGCUGUUCUUGCACUCCAAGAAAAUGAGUCUCUCAAAGAAGAGAUUCUCCAUCUUAAGCAACAGGUCGAAGAACUUAUUAUGAAGCAACGGCUUGGCGUUCAUCGUUUUGCUAGCUCAGACAGGGACAUCCACUUUUCAGCGGAUAGCUAAUAAACCAUCCACUUUAAAUAUUGUCUUUUCCUUAGUUAGCUAGACAGUAUUUCAUUAGUAAAAUAGUCUUGGAUUCAAGAUGUCCGGGUGUUGUACCAAAAUUGGUGACCUAUUGAAAACUGACAAGUGAGGGGGCACUGUUGUAUCGGCUUGCCAUAGAAAAGGUGAGCCUCAACUCUAACCCGAACAUUUUCUGAACAGUAGGCCCUACGGUGAGUUACAAUGUGUAAUGAUCAUCACCAGCAUCAUCAAGGUAUGAACAAUUUUGUAAGAAAAGUGAUUAACAGAAGUUAAUAUUAUUGCUUCACAUACGAUAAUAUUUUAGCCCACAACCUAAAUUAAACUUUCAGAAUUAAAAAAGGAUAUUGUGGAUUUGGGUUUCCUGAGGCUUAACGCCUCUCUCGGUGAGGCAGACAACUGUCUCUCUCCCCCACGUUCAAACCAUACACACUUCCUCCAAUCAUCUAGAGGGCGAGAAAAUCAAAUUUUGUCACCUAUGUACAAUCAACCAAACAACUGUCAAUUGAUGAUUGUAGACAAAUAAGCCCACUGAUAAUCAUUGGUGAACCGACUUUUAAACUUUAAUUUCAAUUUUGUAUGUCUGUAGCACUAGAGUUAUAUUUUCUGUGUGCUACAGGAGUAGCUUCUGACCUUUGUCGAUUUUGAGGCUGUUGCUCAGAAUAAACUUGGAAGUACGCUAAUUUGCAGCCUAAUAGUUAGAUAUAAAAAUGAAAAAAGGCAAGCACAACCGGACAGAAUGUUUUUACACUAUUGAACUAGGCUAGAAAUCAGUAGGCUACAGCUAACUGACCUACACUGGCACACAGGUGAUACUAAAAUGAAUAAUUCAUUAUUGUCAAAUAACAUUUGCCUUUUAAUCUAGGCCACAAAAUAACAGAAAGCAGCAAAAA